rnacentral:rRNA from 1 species
UACAGAGGGUGCAAGCGUUGUCCGGAAUCAUUGGGCGUAAAGCGCGUGUAGGCGGUCCGAUAAGUCGGUUGUGAAAGUCCAGGGCUCAACCCUGGGAUGCCGACCGAUACUGUCGGACUAGAGUUCGGAAGAGGCGAGUGGAAUUCCCGGUGUAGCGGUGAAAUGCGCAGAUAUCGGGAGGAACACCAGCGGCGAAGGCGGCACUCUGGGCUGGAACUGACGCUGAGGAGCGAAAGCGUGGGUAGCAAACAGG